AACAAACGCUGGCGGCGUGUCUUAAGCAUGCAAGUUGAGCGGCAAGGAGGAGAGAUCCUCCCUAGAGCGGCGGACUGGUGAGUAACGCGUGGGUAAUCUAUCUUAGGCAUGGGGAUAGUCACUAGAAAUAGUGGGUAAUACCGAAUAAGUUCCAUAAGGGGAGGACUUAUGGAAGAAAGGUGCUACGGCACUGGCCUUAGGUGAGCUCGCGUCCCAUUAGCUAGUUGGUGAGGUAAAGGCCCACCAAGGCGAUGAUGGGUAGCCGGCCUGAGAGGGUGUACGGCCACACUGGGACUGAGAUACGGCCCAGACUCCUACGGGAGGCAGCAGCUAAGAAUAUUCCGCAAUGGACGGAAGUCUGACGGAGCGACGCCGCGUGGAUGAAGAAGGCCGAAAGGUUGUAAAGUUCUUUUGCUAGGGGAGAAUAAGUGUAGGGAGGGAAUGCCUGCACGAUGACAAGGACUAGACGAAUAACGUCCCGGACCAACGUACGUGCCAGCAGCCGAC
rnacentral:rRNA from 1 species